rfam:Trichobilharzia regenti genome assembly, scaffold: TRE_scaffold0006878
GUACUGAUGAAGAGUCCCAAACUAGGAUGUAACAGCUGUCCAGUAC